rnacentral:rRNA from 1 species
AGUGAACGCUGGCGGUAUGCCUAACACAUGCAAGUCGAACGGCAGCGCAGUAAGAUCUUGCGCUUACGGGUGGCGGGUGGCGGACGGGUGAGGAAUACAUCGUAAUCUACUUUUUCGUGGGGGAUAACGUAGGGAAACUUACGCUAAUACCGCAUACUCCCUACGGGUGGAAGCAGGGGAUCUUCGGAGCUUUCGCGUUUGCAUGAGCCGAUGUCGCAUUAGCUGGUUGGCGGGGUAAAGGCAGACCAAGGCGACGAUCCGUAGCUGGUCUGAGAGGAGGGUCAGCCACACUAGAACGGAGACACGGUCCAGACUCCUACGGGAGGCAGCAGUGGGGAAUAUUGGAGAAUGGGCGCAAGCCUGAUCCAGCCAUACCGCGUGGGUGAGGAAGGCCUUCGGGGUGUAGAGCCCUUUUGUUGGGAAAGAAAAGCAGCAGGUUGAUACCCCGCUGUGCUGACGGUACCCAAAGAAGAAGCACCGGCUAACUUCGUG